AACAAACUACCCGCCAGCAACCGGAACAACCACCUAGCAAGAGGGGCGGCGAACAGGGCGCCAAUCGGGCACAGCGGCGGCCAAGACUACCACAAUGGGAUGACCAGGGCCGCCCGAUCUGCCUACGUUGUGGGCAGGCAGGCCACAUGCUACGGGAGUGCCAGAACCGAGAGUCCACUAACCAUUUUAGAGUGACAGAUGAGGGGAGGCCAGUGGAGGUUCCAAUGCGAUCUGCCCUUGUCGGAGAGAGCCCUGAGGUCGAGGUCCUUGUCCAAGGUCAGCAGGGGUGGCCUGGGAUCGGGCCUUUGCCGCCUGCAGGAGGCUUGAAGCAGAGGAGCACCGGGGACCAAGCCUUGGAGUGGCCCGGCUGCGUACAAGCGACCCUGUCUGGCUGGCCCCACAAACGGAGACUGCGGUGUGGGCCCACGUCCCUGAGGCGCCCAAAGCCAGUCAAGAAGAUGUCCUACUCGAAGACUGCUACCAUGGGGGGCAAGAGUGGUGCGUGGGGCGUGCAGUUGCGAGGCUACAGGACGGCAGGGUCCUCCUCCGCAUAUGUAACCCUCACCCCUACCCUGUGGCGCUACCUCCCAGACGGCCCCUUGCCCGUGUCCUUCGUCUGGGACAGGAUGAUGUCCAAACGCCAAACCAGCUGGUCCUCAGGCAGGAGGAUGAUGCAGUGGUGGAGGUGGACGUGAGGCCAGUGAGUAGUCCCCUUUCCCCCUGUAUGACUUCUCUGCUCCAACAGACGGAUGGACUGACACCGCCCCAGUCUCAACAGCUUCAAGGGCUGCUUGAGCGUUGGCAGGGGGUGUUUGCCCAGAGUGAAGACGACUACGGGUGCACAAAUGCCGUGUACCACACCAUUCCCACAGGGGGUGCUGCACCAAUUCGCCAACGAUAUCGACCCGUGCCGCCUAACCUCUACGCGGAAUUGAGGACGUUGCUGCGUGACAUGCUGGAUGGAGGAGUUGUCCGAGAGAGCUCCAGUCCGUGGGCGGCCCCGGUGGUCUUAGUAAAGAAGAAGGACGGCUCCUGGAGGUUUUGUGUUGACUACAGGAAGUUGAAUGCAGUCACGCAUAAGGAUGCCUACCCCCUCCCUCGUGUGGAGGAGUC
ensembl:lncRNA